rfam:Yersinia mollaretii ATCC 43969 contig01520, whole genome shotgun sequence.
CCCAGAGGUAUUAAUUGGUGAGUAAUCAACAUACGCUGUGUGUUAAAAGCCAGUUUUUGAUUUACACCGACCUACGCAGAUGCGUAGGUUUUUUUU